AGAAGUAAAAGUCGUAACAAGGUUUUGUGAGAACAGACACCCUUCCCAGGGAGCGUUCGGAAGCCUGUGCAGCCCUGAAGAGGGUCCGCGACUCUAAAUAACGGAUGCAAGUAGCGGAAGCUGCAACAUGAUCGAAUUGCGGGGACGUCCUAAAGCCUAGCGGUACCAACACUCGGGGGAAACCCCGGGUGGGCCUGUGCUAAUCACACGGGAGGUAAGAACCCACUAGGAUGUGCCAAUGGAUGAUCCGCAGCGAAGCCCCUACCGGCGCAAGCCCACGGGGAACGUCCACAGACUAAGUGGUUAUGGGUAGAGCACGCUCUGCUUAAGAUAUAGUCGGUCGCCCGGGAAACUGGCGCGGUUAUACGUUCCGUAGGUGAACCUGCGGAAGGAUCAUUA
rnacentral:rRNA from 1 species